AUUGAACGCUGGCGGCAUGCCUUACACAUGCAAGUCGAACGGCAGCACGGGAGCAAUCCUGGUGGCGAGUGGCGAACGGGUGAGUAAUAUAUCGGAACGUGCCCAGUCGUGGGGGAUAACGUAGCGAAAGCUACGCUAAUACCGCAUACGAUCUAUGGAUGAAAGCGGGGGAUCGCAAGACCUCGCGCGAUUGGAGCGGCCGAUAUCAGAUUAGGUAGUUGGUGAGGUAAAGGCUCGCCAAGCCGACGAUCUGUAGCUGGUCUGAGAGGACGACCAGCCACACUGGGACUGAGACACGGCCCAGACUCCUACGGGAGGCAGCAGUGGGGAAUUUUGGACAAUGGGCGCAAGCCUGAUCCAGCAAUGCCGCGUGCAGGAUGAAGGCCUU
rnacentral:rRNA from 1 species